AGCGAUCACGUUGGCUUCGAUUGAGCGAGGGAUUUCUUUCCCCUCCUGAAGAAGCAGCGUUUCGCCGUCUUUUAUCGUCUUCAACCCCCACCCCAACCCUCCUAUCUGAAAACCCCUUCUCCAAGUCAGAGAUCGGGUAUUUACUCUGUUCGUAUUUUCUUCUCGGUUCCUGUUAGGGUUUUGUUUCUAUUAAGUUUUCUUUCGCCAUAUUUACCGUCCCGGGAAAACGGAAAUUCCAGGUUCCAAUUCUUACAUUGAAUAAACUCUUUGCAAAAUCCGCUUUACAUUUGUACUUGCGCUUUUGUGUGUUUCAAUUUUGUAAUUUCGUUCAAAGGGUUCAGUCAAAUUUCGAACUGAAUUUUGACUUCUUAAGCUCGAAGGUAGUUAUCGAGUGUGUUUGCGGUUUCGCCUCGAGCUUGUAGUUGCUGUGUAAUUAUGGCGGCUGGGCGACAUGGGGGUUACCGUGAGAACGAGUUCAGGGACCGGGAGACCAAUUUUCAUGUGUCGAGAAGGUCGUUUGGCAGUGCUAGGCAAGAGUUUGAAAGAGUUAAGAUCAGCAAUGAUGAUCAUGGUGUUCGUCGGAGUCUAGCGCCGGACGUUAAAGACAAGGUUAGGGUUAGGCACCAGGGUAUGAAGGAGAACGCGGUUGUUAAUGGUCAUUAUCAUUCGUCUUCUACCAGGAGCAAUUCAAGUACUAGUGAUGGUGGUGUCAGUGGCAGUGAUCAUGGUCCGAUUGAGAAUAGGGUUUCUAAUACCAUCGACAGGGAGCCGGGUGAGUUAUCCUGUGGGAGUGGAUCUGAUGAUGCAAUGGAAUCUGGAUUGGGGGUUAAAGAUAGAGAGGUUUCAAGAGUAGUAAAUAAUGGGAAGCUAUCUCCUAUGGAGAAGAAAAGAAAAUUUUCGCCUAUAGUUUGGGAUAGGGACGACAACAAAUUGAGGCAUCCAUCCCGUAAUGGGACUGUCAUAACAGUGAUGGGUCUUCCACGUCCCCAGAAGUUGACCCGCCAGUCUCCUAAUAUCAUCUCAGACCGAGGUGAAGAUACAUCUUCAGUUAGGAAUAGUGAUAGCAACAAUUUUGCAUCUUCUUCUGAAUUUAAAUCUCCUUUAGUCUCUGGACUUGAAAUGUCUGACUCAUUAGCCUCUCCUGUUUUACGAAAGCAUUUAUGCCAUAAUGUUGAAGUAGAGUUGUUAGAUAAUGAAGAUAAUGGCCCAACAAGGAAUAUCUCAUUUUCACGGUGGGCAGGUGGAAAUACCUCCCCUGCUGAUGCAGGUGAGGUUUUAGAUGAUAAAGAAAUACUAAGACAAAAGAAGAUCCUAAUUAGUGAAAUUCGGGAAAAUGAGCUACAUCGCAAGACCCCAAGUGACACAUUUUCUGAGGCUGGGGACCUCAAGAGCAAUGGUUUCAAGUCAAGCGGAACGAGAGUUAGGUCAUCUGAAUCUAAUGAACAAGGUUCCCAUUGUAGAUUUGAUUCUGGUGGUGAUGCGGAAAAGAGUGACGACAUUGAGGUUGAUGAGAGACAUGAUAUCUCUGAUGCUAGUUACAGUCCCUCAGAUACCGACUCUGAUGAUGAUAAUCAUGUUUGUGCCACCCUUGAGCCUCCAGCAACCACUCAAAGAAGUGUAAACAUGCUUCAGGGAUGUAGAAGUGUUGAUGAAUUUGAGAGACUAAACAAGAUUGACGAAGGCACCUAUGGUGUUGUGUUUAGAGCUAGAGACAAGAAGACUGGGGAAAUUGUGG
rnacentral:misc_RNA from 1 species